rnacentral:tRNA from 1 species
GGCGUAGCUCAAUUGGUAGAGCACAGGAUUGUGAUUCCUGUUGUCGUGGGUUCGAUUCCCAUCG